rnacentral:lncRNA from 1 species
GUUUGGGGUUCACCAUAUUGGGGGCUCAAUGUGUGGGGCAGUGGGAUGUGGGGUGGGACCCCAUUGGGAUCCCAUGGGAGGGGAAUGGGGGAUCAAUGUGUGGGGCAAUGGAGUGUGGGGUGGGACCCCAAUGGGAUCCCAUUGGGGGAAUGGGGGCCCAAUGUGUGGGGCAAUGGGGUGUGGGGUGGGACCCCAUUGGGGGACCCUAUAAAGGGUGGGGUUCUCCAUAUUGGGGUCCCAUGGGGAGGGGAAUGGGGGCUCAAUGUGUGGGGCAGUGGGGUGUGGGGUGGGACCCCAUUGGGGGACCCCAUAAGGUUUGGAGUUCUCCAUCAGUGGGGUCCCAGCAGAGGAAUGGGGACCCCAAACUGUGGGGCAAUGGGAUGUGGGGUGGGACCCCAUUGGGAUCCCAUUGGUGGGGGAAUGGGGGCUCAAUGUGUGGGGCAAUGGGGUGUGGGGUGGGACCCCAUUGGGGGACCCCAUAAACUUUGGGGUUCACCAUAUUGGGGGCUCAAUGUGUGGGGUAAUGGGAUGUGGGGUGGGGUGGGACCCCAUUGGGAUCCCAUGGGAGGGGAAUGGGGGCUCAAUGUGUGGGGCAAUGGAGUGUGGGGUGGGACCCCAUUGGGGGACCCCAUAAGGUUUGGGGUUCUCCAUAUGGAGGUCCCAUUGGGAGGGGAAUGGGGUCCCAAUGUGUGGGGUAAUGGGAUAUGGGGUGGGGUGGGACCCCAUUGGGAUCCCAUAGGGGGAGUGGGGGCGAAAUGUGUGGGGCAAUGGGGUGUGGGGUGGGACCCCAUUGGGGGACCCCAUAAGGUUUGGGGUUCUCCAUAUGGAGGUCCCAUUGGGAGGGGAAUGGGGACCCCAAUGUGUGGGGAAAUGGGGUGUGGGGUGGGACCCCACUGGGGGACCCCAUAAACUUUGGGUCCUCUAUUAGUGGGAUUUUGGGGUCCCCCAUUAUAGGGCUAUGGGGUGACCCCA